GGCAUGGAAACAGCACUCGGUAUUUACUGGUUGAAUGAAUAAAGGCAGAUACAGCUUCUCGAGUAUUUUAUUGGAGCAAAACAAUGUAUUUGCAUGGGAUGAUUCUUAAGUCAUCUCAAGUAGUUCCCCUUCAGCUCUUAACAUACACUCUCAGAAUGGAUACACCUUCCCCAAGCCAUUAUUUAUAGCUCAAUCAUCAUCCAACAAAUCAAAAACAAAACAAAAAAAUCAUUCAGCAAAGAAGGGAGACAGGGUGACAUUUUAACACAAUACUAAAUCUUUAUCUUUCCCCCUUCUCUUAAUGUUAGCUGCCUUUAUCCAGAGAGGGAUCAUUAAGACUGUGUCUGCAUGCUGGCUGUCUUGGUGACCUCACUAGUCUCCUCUGAAGAACCACUGAGGAUGCUUUUUACUGUUCCAACCCUUAACAACUGAGGGAACAAGACCUAAUGCUAAGGGUGAAGACAUUCCACCCUGGCCAGGGAUAUGUCCCACACUUCUUAGA
rnacentral:lncRNA from 1 species